GGAGGUAUUGCUCGGUGGUUAGAGUGCAUGCUUAGCAUGCACAAGGUCCUGGGUUCAAAUGCCGGGACCUCCA
rnacentral:tRNA from 1 species